GACGAACGCUGGCGGCGCGCUUAACACAUGCAAGUCGAGCGAAGCGGCGGACGGGUGAGUAACACGUGAGUAACCUGCCUUAGACAUUGGGAUAGCCUCGGGAAACCGGGAUUAAUACCAAAUGGUCUAAGAUGGACUCGCGUCCCAUUAGCUAGUUGGUGGGUAACGGCCCACCAAGGCGACGAUGGGUAGCCGGCCUGCGAGGGUGAACGGCCACAUGGGAACGGAGAAACGGUCCAGAGUCUACGGGAGGCAGCACUGGGGGAUAUUGCACAAUGGGUGAAAGCCUGAUGCGGCGACGCCGCGUGGGGGUUGAAGUCUUUCUGGUUGUAAACCUCGUUCGCUAUCGAACGGGUAGGUGGAGAAGAAGCGCCGGCUAACUACGUGCCAGCAGCCGCGGUAAUAC
rnacentral:rRNA from 1 species